UCUUAAGAGUAUUGUUGAUACAGAACCUCUGCUGUGCUCAUUUUAUUCUCAUUAUUAGUAAUAGGUUUGCUGUAGACCAGGAGAUGAAACCUGAGAGUGCUUUGAGUGCAGCUCUGGCAGAAGCGGUGCUGCUCAGCUGCAGUCUGUCUCGUCUACUCCACUCCGUGUUUCCGUGGGCUUUUAACCUUUAAUAUUAGUAGGAGAACAAACAGCUCCAGAGAGAACAUGUCUCUAGUCUCUAAUCAUCCAGCGAACUCUAUUUAGAAUGUAAAAAGUCACAAAUGUCCGUGUGUUUCAGCGAUAUUCAUCAUUUCUAAUGUUUUUCCCCCUACAGGUUCUCUAAAGGAUCCAUCCAGGGUAUGUUACAUUUCUCACCAACCACCAAAAAUGAUUUCAUAUGACGUGUGCACGUCACCGUGUCUUCGAACAAUGUUUACAAACAGGAAGUACUUUCAAAAGUAUACACAUACCGUAUGACGACAUUGUGAUGGUGGUACGGUUUCUAUAGUAACAGCUCAUACACAAGGACCUACAGUAUGUGGUGGAGGCCACCAAGUACAGGGAACAUACACAAAAACACGUAACGGUUGAUACGACAGCGGUUUCUGUGAGGAGAACGGCGUUUAUUUAACACGUUUACAGAGGAGAACGGCGUUUAUUUAACACGUUUACAGAGGAGAACGGGGUUUAUUUAACACGUUUACAGAGGAGAACGGGGUUUAUUUAACACGGUUACAGAGGAGAACCGCGUUUAUUUAACACGGUUACAGAGGAGAACGGCGUUUAUUUAACACGUUUACAGAGGAGAACGGCGUUUAUUUAACACGUUUACAGAGGAGAACGGCGUUUAUUUAACACGUUUACAGAGGAGAACGGCGUUUAUUUAACACGGUUACAGAGGGGAACGGGGUUUAUUUAACACGUUUACAGAGGGGAACGGCGUUUAUUCAACACGUUUACAGAGGAGAACCGCGUUUAUUUAAGACGUUUACAGUGGAGAACGGCGUUUAUUUAACACGUUUACAGAGGAGAACGGCGUUUAUUUAACACGUUUACAGAGGAGAACGGGGUUUAUUUAACACGUUUACAGAGGAGAACCGCGUUUAUUUAACACGUUUACAGAGGGCAACGGGGUUUAUUUAACACGUUUACAGAGGAGAACAGCGUUUAUUUAACACGUUUACAGAGGCGAACGUGGCUUUGGGUUUUCUGACGUCUUCAGGACAGAGGGGUUUUAAAUGAAAUUCACGUGAGAGAAAAGGAGAGUAACUUUUCAGCUUUGCUGACGUUCUGCAGCGUUAAAUGUAACUAUAACCGGAUAAAAAGUACGAUGUGAUGUUCUUUCGUGAAUAAAAAUGUCCCAGCGCUUCUGGACAUGCGGUUAUGGGAGAAUAAUCCGCAGUGGGGUGGU
ensembl:lncRNA